AAAAAGUGCCGGUGUUAAUGUUCAAUAUUAUGAGGUUGACUCCACACCAACAGGAACCUGUGCUGUUUGUGUGGUGGGUGGUGAAAGGUCACUAGUUGCCAAUUUGUCUGCUGCAAAUUGCUACAAGUCAGAUCAUUUGAAAAGACCUGAAAAUUGGGCAUUAGUUGAGAAGGCCAAGUAUUUCUACAUUGCUGGAUUUUUUCUCACUGU
rnacentral:misc_RNA from 1 species